GAACGCUGGCGGCGUGCUUAACACAUGCAAGUCGAACGAAGAGCGACGGAAGCUUGCUUCUAUCAAUCUUAGUGGCGAACGGGUGAGUAACGCGUAAUCAACCUGCCCUUCAGAGGGGGACAACAGUUGGAAACGAUAGCUAAUACCGCAUAAGAACAUUUACUGCAUGGUAGAUGUUUAAAAGGUGCAAAAGCAUCACUACCAGAUGGACCUGCGUUGUAUUAGCUAGUUGGUGAGGUAACGGCUCACCAAGGCAACGAUACAUAGCCGACCUGAGAGGGUGAUCGGCCACACUGGGACUGAGACACGGCCCAGACUCCUACGGGAGGCAGCAGUAGGGAAUCUUCGGCAAUGGGGGGAACCCUGACCGAGCAACGCCGCGUGAGUGAAGAAGGUUUUCGGAUCGUAAAGCUCUGUUGUUAAGGAAGAACGUGUGUGAGAGUGGAAAGUUCACACAGUGACGGUACUUAACCAGAAAGGGACGGCUAACUACGUGCCAGCAGCCGCGGUAAUACGUAGGUCCCGAGCGUUGUCCGGAUUUAUUGGGCGUAAAGCGAGCGCAGGCGGUUAGAUAAGUCUGAAGUGAAAGGCAGUGGCUCAACCAUUGUAGGCUUUGGAAACUGUUUAACUUGAGUGCAGAAGGGGAGAGUGGAAUUCCAUGUGUAGCGGUGAAAUGCGUAGAUAUAUGGAGGAACACCGGUGGCGAAAGCGGCUCUCUGGUCUGUAACUGACGCUGAGGCUCGAAAGCGUGGGGAGCGAACAGGAUUAGAUACCCUGGUAGUCCACGCCGUAAACGAUGAGUGCUAGGUGUUAGGUCCUUUCCGGGACUUAGUGCCGCAGCUAACGCAUUAAGCACUCCGCC
rnacentral:rRNA from 1 species